rnacentral:rRNA from 1 species
AUGGGGAGAAUCAAUGUUAAUCCUAUUUGGGGUAAGAUCUGGAAAUUAUCUUGUCCAACAAAGGUCAAAAGUUUCAUCUGGCGCACACUGCAUGUCACUCUACCUUGUCGGGUUACGCUUGCGAAUAGACACCUCAAAGUCACGCCCAUCUGCCCUGCAUGUUCUAGUGCGCCAGAAGAUACAAAGCAUAUGUUGUUUCUUUGUCACAAAGCUAAGGUGGUUUGGCGUAAUUUGGGAUUGGGUGAGGUGAUCAACAAGGCUUGGGUUAUGGAUCNNNNNNGAGAGGCAGUCCUUGAAUUUUUACUUCUUAUGCCAGAUCAUGAUGUAGCUAUAUUGGGCUUCCAGAAGACCCACGAACUAAUCGCUAUUACCGCUUGGUACUUAUGGUGGGAAAGA